GCCUUCCCGCUUGGCCCCGCUCCCGCUCAGGGCGGUGUCAGGCGGCGCCGCCGGACGCCAUCUUGACUGUGGGCAGCUCGGCUUCAGGUCGGCAGAGAGC
ensembl:miRNA gga-mir-1675 gga-mir-1675